rnacentral:rRNA from 1 species
CCAGCAGCCGCGGUAAUUCCAGCUCCGCAAGUGUAUUCCUAUACUGUUGCGUUUAAAUAGCUCGUAGUUGGAUCUGCGUGUUUAGCGCGUGGUGUUGCUUUUUGCAACUACUGCGACGCGACACUGUACGCUGAUUGCAUCUCUUGAGUUGCUGUCAGCAAGUUUACUUUGAACAAAUCAGAGUGCUCAAAACGGGCGUUUCGCUCGAAUGUUCUUGCAUGGAAUAAUGGAAUAGGACCUUGCGUUCUAUUUUGUUGGUUUUCGGGACGCGGGUAAUGAUUAAGAGGGACAGACGGGGGCAUUUGUACUGCGACGUGAGAGGUGAAAUUCUUGGAUCGUCGCAA